CUAAAAGUCAAAUCUACGCAUCGUACAGACGAAGCACAUCUCUUGUUUUCAAGAAGCUCUCAAUAUGAUAAAUGCACUUCUGUGGAUACUUCGCUGAAACAUCGUUAUUGCUUCCCCGCAGGGCUGAAUGUAUGCGUCUACCAUGUUUGACGCCUCAAAUUGGACCACUCCUUAAGUACAACAAGCCGAAACUGCGUCAUUUUACGGGCCAAGUAAAUAUAUUGUUUCCAAGAAGGUCACACCAUGAAAAAUGCUCUUCUGAGGAUACUUCACUGGAAUGUCAUUUUUGCGGUUUGCUCAGCUUUUCCACAAGCGGAUGCUGAAAGCGAAGAGGACGACUCCUUACAAGAUUUCAAUGUAGAAUUAUUCGUCAUUACUGACAAAUCCCUCACAAACCGCUUCCACAAAGACCACGCAAAACUCAAGGCACAUGUUCAACAACUUCUCACUAAGGCAAG